rnacentral:rRNA from 1 species
UACGAAGGGGGCUAGCGUUGCUCGGAAUCACUGGGCGUAAAGCGCACGUAGGCGGACCCUUAAGUCGGUGGUGAAAUCCUGGAGCUCAACUCCAGAACUGCCUUCGAUACUGGGAGUCUCGAGUCCGGGAGAGGUGAGUGGAACUGCGAGUGUAGAGGUGAAAUUCGUAGAUAUUCGCAAGAACACCAGUGGCGAAGGCGGCUCACUGGCCCGGUACUGACGCUGAGGUGCGAAAAGCGUGGGGAGCAAACAGG